AAAAAACGAAUGGGGGUGUAUUAGUCAAUUUGUCUAUUCAGAAAACUGUCAUUCCUAAAUUAACGUCAGUAAUUUAGGAAUUUACUCUCCCUCUACCCACUUCUUUCGCACACCAACCCACCAUUUCUGAAAACCCUACACCAGACGGCGAUUCAUCUCCAAUUGCAACGGCUGGCUUGGAUUUGGCAGGCGAUAUCACAGUGCGAUUCCUCUCCAACUACAACAGCGGCGCUUGGAAUUGGUCGACGACUAUUCAGUUAUCCGGCGGCGAAGCAUUGGAUUUGGCCGUCUGAAACCGUCCCACAUCAAGAAUUGGGAACCGGUCUCUGCCUAAAUCUCUCGCAAAUGUUGCACUGACUUUCAAAUCACUUUCUUUCUCAUCUCAAUUGCAGACAUUCUCCCUCAAGUCUCGCCGAUUCGUUCGAUUUGUGGCUGAAUUUCAAUUGUACGCCGAUAUCUAGCCGAAAAACGAAGAGCUUUUGGACAAUUUUCUCAUGGGCUUGCGAAGGCGUGCAAAUCCAGUGUUCUGAUUUGCUUAUUUUCAAGUUCUCAUAGGUUGAAUUUGUAUUUUUAUUCGAAAUCUUAUAGUGACAUAUUCACUAUACUGUAUUCAUUGAGUAUUAGUUAAUUUAUUCAGUUUUUUGUUUUACUUAUUCGGUUUAUAACAAUGUGGUAUUUG